GAUGAACGCUAGCGGCAGGCUUAACACAUGCAAGUCGAGGGGUAUAGUUCUUCGGAACUAGAGACCGGCGCACGGGUGCGUAACGCGUAUGCAAUCUACCUUUUGCAGAGGGAUAGCCCAGAGAAAUUUGGAUUAAUACCUCAUAGUAUGUGAGAAUGGCAUCAUCUUCACAUUAAAGUCACAACGGCAAAAGAUGAGCAUGCGUCCCAUUAGCUAGUUGGUAAGGUAACGGCUUACCAAGGCAACGAUGGGUAGGGGUCCUGAGAGGGAGAUCCCCCACACUGGUACUGAGACACGGACCAGACUCCUACGGGAGGCAGCAGUGAGGAAUAUUGGACAAUGGGCGCAAGCCUGAUCCAGCCAUGCCGCGUGCAGGAUGACGGUCCUAUGGAUUGUAAACUGCUUUUGUACAGGAAGAAACACUGGUUCGUGAACCAGCUUGACGGUACUGUAAGAAUAAGGAUCGGCUAACUCCGUGCCAGCCGCCGCGGUAACAC
rnacentral:rRNA from 1 species